UCUAACUGGGAUUUUAAGAGAGUGAUGAUGAUGGUGGUGAUGCUAGUGAUAAUGGUUAACAGUUAAUGAAUAUUUUAAUGUUCCAAAGAACCGCCUAACUAAUGCCUUAUCUCACUGGAAACUUUCAACAGCUCUAGUUGUUACUCCAUUUCACAUCUCAGUAAUGCAACAGAAACAGAGAAGUUAAAGAACUACUAGGUGGUACAAAUCCAAGUUAGCCAGUCCCAGAGUCAGCCUCAUUGUGUGACUCUAUUUUAUUGAGGCAGUGUUGAGGAAGGAUCUGCCUGGAGGAUGGUGGGGUUGGGUAAAGGGCAAGUUGAGGGCUGCAGAAGGGCUUGCCUGGCCAAGGGACCAGCAAGUGCAAAGACAGGGAGAUGAGAAAUCAUGGGGCAGCAAUUAGGGAUUUGUGAGAAGUUUCUUGCUGAAUGAUGCCUUAUAAAUUGGGGGUUGUUAAGGUGAGCCUUGUGAUUGUUUACAGAUAAGAAGGGAUCUCUUAGACAUGACAAUGGGUUUAGACACAGUGUCAUUAGGGGAUUUUAAGCAGGAGAACGAAAUGAUCCUAUUAUUUUAUUGGUGGGGCAUAAGGAGAGGGUCUUAAAUUACAGGGAUGUGAGUUCAGUAACUAAAAUGUAGUAAUAAAUAGCCAUUUGAUAACCUUUAACUUGUAUUAACUUUAAUUUCUUUCUAGUCAAAGCACUUCUGAUUUGGGUGAGUUCUUGAAACUGAAAUCUGCAAGUGUUGUGCUCAUUUAUUGAGGUUGCAGAUAGAACCAACAUAUCUCCAGCUGCUCUUCAUGUCACCUGGGGCAGAGAUUUAUUCUGGACCUGAUCUUCAGAUAAAAUUUGCCAGAUGGGAAAAAUCCAUUGGCGCUGCGGAGCCGGAGAGUUGGCCUGGUGGAAGUGAUCAGACGAUGUGGGUAAAUUCAUCUUUGAACAAAUGAAUUAAAUAUGCACAGUAAAUGGUUUAGUGCACAGCAGGAGAGUGCCGCCUAAUCAUUGGGGAAGAAAGCAAAGCAGCAGAGCCGCAAGCUUCACGCAGUCACUCCUGUGGUUGGGUGUGAGAGGUGGUGAUAGCCAGGAGGCUAGCAGAGUGCUUUGUAGCACCGUGCUCGCCUGAGUGUGCAAUAUGUUAACUACAGCUGGGUCUGGCAUAAUCAUCCCUGACUAAUGGGAGGAGAGGGGAGGGGGUUCAAGUGCUGAAUAAAUAAAUUACUUAAUUACA
rnacentral:lncRNA from 1 species